rnacentral:rRNA from 1 species
AACGAACGCUGGCGGCGCGCCUAAUACAUGCAAGUCGAGCGAGAAGACGUAGCAAUACGUUUGUAAAGCGGCGAACGGGUGAGGAAUACAUGGGUAACCUACCCUCGAGUGGGGAAUAACUAGCCGAAAGGUUAGCUAAUACCGCGUACGCUCCUUGGACUUCGGUUCAGGGAGGAAAGCGAUACCGUGGGUAUCGCGCUCUUGGAUGGGCUCAUGUCCUAUCAGCUUGUUGGUGAGGAACGGCUCACCAAGGCUUCGACGGGUAGCUGGUCUGAGAGGACAAUCAGCCACACUGGCACUGCGACACGGGCCAGACUCCUACGGGAGGCAGCAGUGGGGAAUAUUGGACAAUGGGCGCAAGCCUGAUCCAGCCAUGCCGCGUGAGUGAUGAAGGCCU